UACAGAGGCCUCGAGCGUUAGGCGGAAUCACUGGGCUUAAAGCGUGUGUAGGCGGACUUCUAAGUGCCUUGUGAAAUCCCACGGCUCACCCGUGGAACUGCUGGGCAUACUGGGAGUCUUGAGCCACCUAGGGGCGAGCGGAACAAAUGGUGGAGCGGUGAAAUGCGUAGAUAUCGGAAGGAACACCUGUGGCGAAAGCGGCUCACUGGACCACAACUGACGCUGAUGCACGAAAGCUAGGGGAGCAAACAGG
rnacentral:rRNA from 1 species